rnacentral:rRNA from 1 species
GAUGAACGCUAGCGAUAGGCUUAACACAUGCAAGUCGAGGGGCAGCAAGAGUACAGUUUACUGUAUUUGUUGGCGACCGGCGCACGGGUGAGUAACGCGUAUGCAAUCUACCUUUUACAAAGGGAUAGCCCGAAGAAAUUCGGAUUAAUACCUUAUAGUAAUCUAGAAUCGCAUGAUUUUCGAUUUAAAGAUUUAUCGGUAAGAGAUGAGCAUGCGUUCCAUUAGUUAGUUGGUAAGGUAACGGCUUACCAAGGCAUCGAUGGAUAGGGGAACUGAGAGGUUUAUCCCCCACACUGGAACUGAGACACGGACCAGACUCCUACGGGAGGCAGCAGUGAGGAAUAUUGGUCAAUGGACGAGAGUCUGAACCAGCCAAGUCGCGUGAAGGAUGACUGCCCUACGGGUUGUAAACUUCUUUUAUGUGGGAAAUAAAAGACAUACGUGUAUGUUAUUGCAUGUACCAUAUGAAUAAGCAUCGGCUAACUCCGUGCCAGCAGCC